AUGUUCUCUGCAUGUCUACUGUUGCUGCUGGCAGCUGCUUCCUGUGUCCACUGUCAGGUCGUACUCACACAGGCUGGACAGUCAGUCCAGGGGACCCCCAAAGGAUCCCUCAAACUCACAUGUGCCUGCAGUGGAUUCACUCUAAGCAGCACUAAUAUGUACUGGAUCCGCCAGGCACCUGGAAAAGAACUUGAAUGGAUCAUUUACUAUUAUUCUGACAGUGACAAGAGCAAUGCCCAGGUAGUACAGGGCCGAUUCACUGCAUCAAAGGACAGCUCUAAUUUCUAUCUGCACAUGAGCCAGUUGAAGCCAGAUGACUCUGCAGUGUAUUACUGUGCUAGAGACUCACGAUGUAAGCCCCUCUGUGUCCUAGAGAGUAGAGAAGAGCAGCUCCCACCGGUUCAGCUUCAACACAAACAAUAUUCCCUGUACCUCUGCUGCUGCUGGCAGCUGUAUCCUAGACACAGUGACACAAGAGGCUGCAGCAACAUACACAAACUAGUCAGCACUGUCCACUCUCUGACGACCAACUCCAUGGAACUAAAUGCAGCCACAGCCCCCCCUACUCUAUUCCCUCUUAUGAACUGUGGAACCGCUUCUAACAAUGUCUACAGCAUCGGUUGUCUCGCUACCGGCUUUUCACCUUCCUCACUCACAUUCAAGUGGAAAGAUGCCAGCGGGAGUCCGCUGACGGACUUCGUCCAGUACCCGGCAGUCCAGAGUGGGGGAGCCUACACAGGAGUCAGUCAGCUCCGUGUGGCUAAGAAUGACUGGGAAAACUCAAAGUCUUUUAAUUGUUCUGUGGAACAUCCUGGAGGUGGAAAGACAGCAGUCAUCCAUAAACCAGUCCCAAAGUCUCCAACAGUGUCUUUGCUGUCGGGGCCCAUUGGCACCACCCAGUACCUGAUGUGUAUGAUUGAAGAUUUCACCCCAAAUAAAGUCACUGUCACCUGGAAGAAGAAUGACAUGGAGGUGAAGGGCCAAAUCACUACUGUUGGCAAACAGCCGUCAGGCCUCUACUCAGGCAGCAGUCUGCUGAAGGUCAACAACACUGACUGGAACAACAAGGUCAAGUACAGCUGUGUGGUGCAGCACCAGGGACCACCCACCAUCAAGACAAUCUCCAAAACAGAACCACUGACGGUGACUCUGAACCCACCACGUGUGAAAAAGGUGUUCUUGGACAACCAAGCAGUGCUGGACUGUGUCAUCAGUGGUACAGACCAGGACACAGUGUCUGGUACCACUAUCACAUGGCAGGUCAACGGACAUGCCAAGACGAGUGGCAUCGAUCUGAAAGAUAUUGAAUCAAAGGGCAACCUGAACAGCAGGGUCAGUACUCUGACCAUAGACCAGAAGGACUGGACCAAAGUGAACAAAGUCCAGUGUUCUGUCAUGAAGAGUGGUGAAGACAAACCGGUCAUUCAGGAACUCAGCUUCACCAAAGGAAGUGAAGCCCCUUCAGUGUCCGUCCACCUUCUCCCGGAGAAAGACACCAGGGAGGAGGAGGAUGUGACUCUGGUGUGCCUGGUGGUCUGCCCGUCUCUCUGUGAAGUCUACAUCAUGUGGCAGGUGAACAGCAGCCAGUACCAGGAGGGGGUCACCAGCCCUCCUCAGAAAACCCCGGAAGGCAGGUAAUCUGUCACCAGCGUCUUCACCACCACUAAGAAGGAGUGGGAGGGAAACGUGCUUUUCACAUGCGCCGUCAAGGACCUCGGCUCGGACAACAACACCGCACCUCAGGGGAGGAGUGUGUCAAAGUCCUUGGGUAACUCAUGUGAAGACAAGUGAUAUUAAUCUGUGUGUGUUGUGUCGUUGUGUCUCCUUAUUGACUCCUCUGUGGGUCAGAAUAGCCAAUUACUAGGCGUGUCCCCUGUUGUUUGAUGUCAUUGUUGUUGUC